rnacentral:lncRNA from 1 species
UGCUCAUCACAACUUCUCCUACUUAAAAUAUUUUAUAAAGUUUUAUUUUAAGCUUUUAGCUUUUGUCGCCUUUGUUUCUGCCCAUUUACCCUGAGGAAAACAUAAAUAUUCGACAUAAAAGUUUUAGAAAUUUUGAUUGCCAACACAAAGAACAACCAUAAACGUGCUGCAGCACGAUAUGAUGUUUGAAGCACAAAGCAAAACAAAAAAGAAC